rnacentral:tRNA from 1 species
AGCAGAGUGGUGCAGCGGAAGCAUGCUGGGCCCAUAAUCCAGAGGUCGAUGGACCGAAACCAUCCUCUGCUA